GCCGCGGUAACCUGACCGUGCUAAGGUAGCGCAAUCACUUGCCCUUUAAUUGGGGGCUAGUAUGAAUGGCCAGACAAGGGCUUUACUGUCUCAAAAGACGUAAUGAAAAUUGACCUUUAGGUGCAGAGGCCUAAAUUCUAGUGAAAGACAAGAAGACCCUAUCGAGCUUUAAUUUUACUCAUUUCUCUAAAUGAAAUAAAUUUUUAUUGGGGCAAUAAAGGCGCAAACAAAGCCGCCUUUAAUAACUUGUUAUAUAAAAUUAUAAGAGAAACAUUUUUAGUGCGCACAAGCAUAAGCUACCGUAGGGAUAACAGACUAAUUUUCCUCGAGAGUCCACAUUGACAGGAAAGUUUGGCACCUCGAUGUUGGCUUAAAAAACAGUUAUGAAGCGA
rnacentral:rRNA from 1 species